AACGCGAAGAACCUUACCUGGGCUCGAAAUGCUACGGACCGGCUGUGAAAGCAGCUUUUCCCGCAAGGGACCGUAGUAUAGGUGCUGCAUGGCUGUCGUCAGCUCGUGUCGUGAGAUGUUGGGUUAAGUCCCGCAACGAGCGCAACCCUUGUCCUGUGUUGCAACUGCAAAGGCACUCUCAGGAGACCGCCAGCGAUAAGUUGGAGGAAGGUGGGGAUGACGUCAAGUCAUCAUGGCCUUUAUGUCCAGGGCUACACACGUGCUACAAUGGGCGGUACAAAGCGCUGCAAACCCGCGAGGGGGAGCUAAUCGCAAAAAACCGUCCUCAGUUCGGAUUGCAGGCUGCAACUCGCCUGCAUGAAGCUGGAAUCGCUAGUAAUGGCAUAUCAGAACGAUGCCGUGAAUACGUUCCCGGGCCUUGUACACACCGGUAUCUC
rnacentral:rRNA from 1 species